rnacentral:rRNA from 1 species
CAAUAGCGUAUAUUAAAGCUGUUGCGGUUAAAAAGCUCGUAGUUGGAUUUCUGUCAAGGACAACUGGUCCGCCCUCCGGGUGAGCACAUAGUUUGGUCUUGACAUCUUGCUGGAAGCUGUUGCUGCACUUGGCUGUGUGGCGCAGUGUUCAGCACUUUCACUUUGAGGAAAUUGGAGUGUUUCAAGCAGGCACAUGCCUUUGGACACAGUAGCAUGGAAUAAUUAGAUUGGGCUUUUGCUCCAAUUUGUCGGUUUCUGGAGCUGAGGUGAGUAUUAAUGGGGAUUGUUGGGGGCAUCCGAAUUUAGCCGUCAGAGGUGAAAUUCUUGGAUCUGCUAAAGACGGACAACUGCGAAAGCGUUUGCCCAGGAUGUUUUCAUUNA